GUAGGUGAACCUGCGGAAGGAUCAUUAACACGUAUCCUAACGUUAAACCCCCCUGUGAACUUUCAACGUACUCUCGUCACCCCCGCAAGAGGCAAUCCCUGGUAAAUCAUGUUGACCAGUUUUGAGUCAGGGACAACCGGCUACGGGAGAAAUAACUUUGACGAUUGAGCGCUUGAUAUACUUUCUAAGUCUCCUCGCGGCCCGCUAUGAAUGAAAGUGUCAUGGUGGAGACAGACAACAGGAGAACCGC
rnacentral:misc_RNA from 1 species